rnacentral:tRNA from 1 species
GCGGGAGUAGCUCAGCAGGAUAGAGCAACGGUCUUCUAAACCGUAGGUCGAGGGUUCAAAUCCCUCCUCCCGCGCCA